UAAUUUUUUUUAAAAAAAAUUAAAAGCGCUGGUAUAGUUACAUAUAAGAAAGCGCUUUAGGCAAGCGCUGGCUUAGGAUCCAAUUAGAAAGCGCUUUCAAUAAAAGCACUGGCUUGGUAUAAUUAAAAUUGAAAUUGAUAAACAUAAUCUCACAAACGCAAAACCUUCCCAAUCGAAAAACCCUAUCGUUCUUCUUCUUCUCCCAAACCAAAAAUCCAUUGAAUCCACGAACAAACUCUCUCAAUCCACAAACAAACCUUCUGAAUUCGAAGAACCCUAAUUGAACCCCUUGUGAAUCCCUUCUUCGCUCACGAAAUUUCCUCUUUCGUCUCUCACGAAAAUCUCACGAAAUUCCCUUCAGCCACCGUAUCAAAUUCGCUUCUUCUGGGUGUAUAUCUUCUUCUUCGGCCACCGUAACACAAUCGGUGGAAGCCGCUCGUACUCCCUUAAAUCCCUCCGACUACGUUCACAGCCGCUCCCUUAAAUCCCUCAGUUUUCACAGCCGCUCGUACUCCCUCCCUUUACAGCCGCAUAAACUCCCUCCGACUACGUUCAUUUUAUUCGGCCGCUCCGUUGACACGCCCUCUGCCAGAUCCUCCCUCAGCUGUUCGUUUCUUCUCAACGUUUGGGCGUCGUUUCGAUUAUUGCUAACAAAGAUAGUUCAAGAGGGAUACAUUUUCGGCGUGCAGGACCUCGUCAAAAGGUAUGUUUCCACACAUGUGUGAAUUUACCGGUUUAGGUUCCUUCUUGCAUUUAUUUAAUUAUGUGUUCCUCAUAUGCUCAUUCCUAUAAUUAUGUACUUUAUCUUAGUUUUUUUAGCUCAAGUCAUAUAACACACAUGUUAACUAAGAAAAAACAUAUGCUCAUGCAUAUGCUCAUUCAUAUGCUCAUUCCUAUAAUUAUGAACAGCUUGUAUCCAAGCAACAGUAUGUUCAGAUAAUCCUAAUGGUAUAUUUCCAGAGAGAUUAUUCUUUUGCAAAUACAAGUAUUUUAGAUCAUUCAAACUACUCAGAUUUGGAAUUGAUCCUAUUAACCUGUUUUGAGAAAGAUCCAAAACUUCAAGAAAUUCUAUGUUGGAUAUCUCAACGGGGAUAUAACCUUCUAAUUGAUUUUCAUUCAUAAGAAGGAUACACAACUCAUACAUCCCAAUUGAAUUAGGAAUUGUGCCUGAGAUUGAGUUAUUGGAUAUGUCUAGCACUCCUAGUCUUGUAUUGUUUCCGUAGGAAGGAAUAUAUCAAUAUCUUUUGGAAGCAAACCACUUAAAUUGUUGUUUGAUAUAUCCAAAUCUUGUAUGCCAUCAUUAUGUUGCAACCAACUUGGAAAUGACCCAACUAAUUUGUUGCUGGAAAUGUCAAUCAAUAUCAAAUUAGAUUGAUAUGAAAGAAAACUAGGAAUCA